GCUUGUCUCAAAGAUUAAGCCAUGCAUGUCUUAGUGUAAAUAACUCUUAUGAAACUGCGAAUGGCUCAUUAAAUCAGUUAUCAAAUACGUGAUGGUCGCCUACUACAUGGAUAACCGUAGUAAUUCUAGAGCUAAUACAUGCACAAAGGCCCACUCACGUGGGUUGUGAUUAUUAGAUAAAAGGCCGACCGGGCUCUGCCCGACUCGCGGUGAAUCAUGAUAACUUCACGAAUCGCACGGCCUCGUGCCGGCGAUGUUUCAUUCAAAUUUCUGCCCUAUCAACUUUUGAUGGUAGGAUAGAGGCCUACCAUGGUGGUAACGGGUGACGGAGGAUUAGGGUUCGAUUCCGGAGAGGGAGCCUGAGAAACGGCUACCACAUCCAAGGAAGGCAGCAGG
rnacentral:rRNA from 1 species